rnacentral:rRNA from 1 species
ACAAGCGGUGGAGUAUGUGGUUUAAUUCGACGCAACGCGCAGAACCUUACCUUGGUCUUGACAUCCCGGGAAUCUUGUGGAAACACGAGAGUGCCUCGCAAGAGGAGCCUGGAGACAGGUGCUGCAUGGCUGUCGUCAGCUCGUGUCGUGAGAUGUUGGGUUAGGUCCCGCAACGAGCGCAACCCCUAUCUUUAGUUGCCAUCAUUGAGUUGGGCACUCUAAAGAGACUGCCGGUGUCAAACCGGAGGAAGGUGGGGAUGACGUCAAGUCCUCAUGGCCUUUAUGACCAGGGCUACACACGUACUACAAUGGCCGGUACAAAGGGCAGCGACACAGCGAUGUGAAGCGAAUCCCGAAAAGCCGGUCUCAGUCCGGAUUGGAGUCUGCAACUCGACUCCAUGAAGUUGGAAUCGCUAGUAAUCGCGGAUCAGCACGCCGCGGUGAAUACGUUCCCGGGCCUU